GACGAACGCUGGCGGUGUGCUUCACACAUGCAAGUCGAACGGGGUAGCAAUAUCCAGUGGCGGACGGGUGAGUAACGCGUGGGAAUCUGCCUUUAGAUGGGGGAUAGCAAACCGAAAGGUUUAUUAAUACCGCAUAUGUGUAAAUCACGACAGUGGUCUACAUGAAAGGAGUAAUCCGUCUGAAGAUGAGCCCGCGUCCGAUUAGCUAGUUGGUAGGGUAAAGGCCUACCAAGGCGACGAUCGGUAGGUGGUCUGAGAGGAUGAUCACCCACAAUGGGACUGAGACACGGCCCAUACUCCUACGGGAGGCAGCAGUGGGGAAUUUUGUGCAAUGGGCGAAAGCCUGACACAGCGACGCCGUGUGAGCGAAGAAGCCCUUUGGGGUGUAAAGCUCUGUCAGCUGGAACGAAAACAAUGACGGUACCAGCAGAGGAAGCAUCGGCUAACUACGUGCCAGCAGCCGCGGUAAGACGUAGGAUGCGAGCGUUGUCCGGAUUUAUUGGGCGUAAAGAGUUCGUAGGCGGUUCGUUAAGUCUGAUGUUAAAGAUCGGGGCUCAACCCCGGGAGUGCAUUGGAUACUGGCG
rnacentral:rRNA from 1 species